CAGGAAGAUGGGAACUGGCUCUGUCCCACCCUGCAUGGUAUCUUUGGUACUCCUGGAGACAGGGCACAUGCUACUGCUGAAAUCUUACAUGAAGAAAAAUAACACUCAUGACAUCUACAACAGUUUCAAGGGUUCAAGGAGAAGCUAAAAAGUACAGCAAAGGCAGUUCCCCAGGCACACUUCUUCCCAUGGAGCUGCAAACAAGUGGGGUUAAUGGGAUUGACCCCAGCUCCCAGGGAGGGCCCUACUGGCCUAAGCCAACUAGCACACAGCGACUCUCUGGCCAAACUAAUUGAAUAAAGUGUUGGUAUGGGAUCUAAAUUAGCAAAAUCAGUGAAACUCAAGAAUUUUCACUUUUUCAAGG
rnacentral:lncRNA from 1 species